UGGGUUUUCACCAUGUUGGCCAGCCCGGUCUUGAACUCCAUCAGCCUCCCAAAGUGCUGGGAUUACAGACGUGAGCCGGCAUGCCCGGCCUCCCUGCUGAAUCCUUUCUUCAUUUUAUCAUAAUCCUUCUAAAUGGAAAGCACAAUGACACAGAAGGAAAUACAGAAGGCCCCAAAUUAGGAAUCUUGGAUUUUAGACCCAGUGUUCCCCUAACUGCUUAAAGUGUGACCUCAAGUGAGACUUGAGAAUCUGGUGGAAAGGGUGAAAAGGCCAUAAGAUCAGCAAUCACCACUUCUCAUGAAAAAAGAUCCUCAUUAACAAUACAAGCAAG